CACGGGGGGAGCAAGCGUUGUUCGGAAUCACUGGGCGUAAAGGGCGUGUAGGCGGUCAAGUAAGUGGAAUGUGAAAGCCCCCGGCUUACCCGGGGAUCUGCAUCCCAAACUGCUUGGCUUGAGUACGGGAGAGGAUAGGGGAAUUCCUGGUGUAGCGGUGAAAUGCGCAGAUAUCGGGAGGAACACCAGUGGCGAAGGCGGCACUCUGGGCCGGUACUGACGCUGAGGAGCGAAAGCGUGGGGAGCGAACAGG
rnacentral:rRNA from 1 species